AUCUGAGUGUGGAUAGUAGAUUUCCACAUCUAAAAUCUAUAACAGUUGGUUCUUCAUGAUGCUCGAUAGUCGCAAACAUGUCCGGCCUCUACAAGUAUCCAUACAAAGCCCUUGUGUUGAUCGAUCUCUCCGAAAGUCCAAACUUGUAAAGACACCUUGCUUUGGCUGAUCUAAGGGGAACAUAAAGAAGAUGAAGAACAAGGAGACCCUUUCCUUUUCUUCCUGGAUCCACGCAUCAAAUCUCUAC
rnacentral:lncRNA from 1 species